rnacentral:rRNA from 1 species
GACGAACGCUGGCGGCGUGCCUAACACAUGCAAGUCGAGCGAUGAAGUUUCCUUCGGGAAAUGGAUUAGCGGCGGACGGGUGAGUAACACGUGGGUAACCUGCCUCAUAGAGGGGAAUAGCCUCCCGAAAGGGAGAUUAAUACCGCAUAAUAUUACAGUUUUGCAUGAAACAGUAAUUAAAGGAGCAAUCCGCUAUGAGAUGGACCCGCGGCGCAUUAGCUAGUUGGUGAGGUAACGGCUCACCAAGGCAACGAUGCGUAGCCGACCUGAGAGGGUGAGCGGCCACAUUGGGACUGGGACACGGCCCAGACUCCUACGGGAGGCAGCAGUGGGGAAUAUUGCGCAAUGGGGGACACCCUGAUGCAGCAACGCCGCGUGAGUGAUGGCGGUCUUCGGAUUGUAAAGCUCUGUCUUCAGGGACGAUAAUGACGGUACCUGAGGAGGAAGCAACGGCUAACUACGUGUCAGCAGCCGCGGUAACAC